rnacentral:rRNA from 1 species
GAUGAACGCUGGCGGCGUGCCUAAUACAUGCAAGUCGAGCGAACGGACGAGAAGCUUGCUUCUCUGAUGUUAGCGGCGGACGGGUGAGUAACACGUGGAUAACCUACCUAUAAGACUGGGAUAACUUCGGGAAACCGGAGCUAAUACCGGAUGAUAUUUUGAACCGCAUGGUUCAAAAGUGAAAGACGGUCUUGCUGUCACUUAUAGAUGGAUCCGCGCUGCAUUAGCUAGUUGGUAAGGUAACGGCUUACCAAGGCAACGAUGCAUAGCCGACCUGAGAGGGUGAACGGCCACACUGGAACUGAGACACGGUCCAGACUCCGACGGGAGGCAGCAGUAGGGAAGCUUCCGCGAUGGGCGAAAGCCUGACGGAGCAACGGCGCGUGAGUGAUGAAGGUCUUCGGAUCGUAAAACUCUGUUAUUAGGGAAGAACAUAUGUGUAAGUAACUGUGCACAUCUUGACGGUACCUAAUCAGAAAGCCACGGCUAACUACGUG